AUCAUAAUUAAUAAUGAGAGUUAACGUAGUCUGUUAAAUGUGAAUUACAUCGCACACAUGAUUUAACGGAAGAGUAAAUACCUUUCAGCGCUAGCAUCUUUUUCCCACCCAAGCCG